CCUACGGGUGGCAGCAGGGAGGAAUAUUGGUCAAUGGCCGAGAGGCUGAACCAGCAAAGUCGCGGGAGGGAAGACGGCCCUACGGGGUGGAAACCUCUUUUGUCGGGGAGCAAAGAGAGUCACGUGUGACCCAUUGAGAGUACCCGAAGAAAAAGCAUCGGCUAACUCCGUGCCAGCAGCCGCGGUAAUACGGAGGAGGCGAGCGUUAUCCGGAACGACUGGGCGUAAAGGGUUCGUAGUUGGUUUGACAAGGUGGUAGCGGAACUCCGAGGCUCAACCUCGGCACUACUACCAAAACUGUCGGACUUGAGUGCAGGAUGGGCAAUUGGAAUUCCUAGUGUAGCGGUGUAAUGCGCAGAUAUUAGGAGGAACACCGGUGGCGAAGGCGACUUGCUGGACUGUAACUGACGCUGAGGCACGAAAGCGUGGGGAUCGAACAGGAUUAGAUACCCGAGUAGUC
rnacentral:rRNA from 1 species